CGUAUCAAGAAUGUCAACUCCUUCUUGUACCUGUGAUUUUACGAAAGGAUUUCUUGAUAAAGGCAUGGGUUACGGUUCCUAAAAUCUAUGCUUUUCUUCGACUAUUUUUUUUUUCAAAUCGAGAGUUUAAUUCAUGAUUUACUCAUCAUCAGAAUCAUUUUCAAAGAUUUCAUGUUUUAAAAUUCUUUCUAAAUCAUAUUAGGGUUCAUUUUUAACCUUGCCUGUAACUGUUUAAUCUUUCAUCCGAUGUUUAAUUUGGAUUUGGAUAUGUUAUUAAAGGAUCCCAAUCUCCAUACCCAUCUAAAAAUUUCCAAAAAAAAAUCGAUUCCAGUUUUGUCCUGAUUUUUCAUCUUCAUUCAUCUGCAAAAUAACUAUAGAUGAGGGAUGUAAAUGCUUGAAGUCAACUCUUGCAUGAGUUUUUUAAGUUAAAUCUUUGUUCUUUGAUCAAUUACCUUGAGUUCUCUAGGUUACAGGGCUAUUUCCUACAAGUUUUUUUUAUGUGGGUUUUCCAUUGCAUCAGCUUCUCCUCCUGUUAAGAUUGUUGGUGGGUUUAUAUCAAAUGCUCUCGCCCCUUUGUUGAAAUGGCUGUGGGGAUUGAAAGCUAGUACAAAAACAGGAAUUACUGGUAGGCCUAUGAUGAAGUUUGAGAAUGGAUAUACAGUUUAGACAGUAUUUGAUGGGAGUAAACUUGGGAUUGAACCUUAUUCUGUGGAGGUAUUACCUAACGGAGAACUUCUGAUUUUGGAUUCUGCUAAUAGUAACAUCUAUAAGAUCUCUCAGCCCUUGUCUCACUUCUUGUGGCGGCGGUGUCACGUCAGCUUCCAUCUUCUUUAUCAUAAGAAUGGGGAGUAUGAUGAAGGGGUUUCAGGGCGUUCACAAAAAGUUUGCAAGGCCGGGAGAGACGCAACUCCACUCCGAACUCUCAAGUGGUCAGAGCAUAAGGCGGUGACUGGAGACAAAGACAUACAUAUGUUUACAAGGCUCAGAGGAAUAGAAGAAAAACUUUUAGUGGAAGUGAUCGGACUUGGUAACAUGGAUUGAAUUAAACUAUUAUGGAAAUGUGCAGAUGAUGCCGAUGAUGAUAAGUUUUACAGGCAAGAUCAACAAAGGGGUAUCCACCAACAGGGUAAUCUCAUCUUAAUUUAGGAACAUUUUGUUUCAGUUAACACAAACUAGGUCACCCAUCCAUUUAUGAACGUCAACAUAGAACAUUGUAUGUCAGUCACAAAAAUUUGGGUCUUCAUGAUCAUCUUAGUAGGUUUACUGUGAUACUUGUAUACAUUUGUAUCUCCUACUCAUACUUUAAGUUCACUUUAAUUGAAGAAUCCUUUUUC